UGAGUAGGUGGAGCGAUCGCACCGAUUUUCGGUGAGGAAAGUCCGAGCUCCAUAGGGCAAGGGUGCCAGAUAACGUCUGGUGGAGGCGACUCCAAGGAUAGUGCAACAGAAAUAAACCGCCUUUUGUAAGGUAAGGGUGGAAAGGUGAGGUAAGAGCUCACCGCCUUUGCGGUAACGGAAAGGGCCAUGUAAACCCCACUCGGAGCAAGACCAAAACAAACCUUAGGCUGCCCGCUAGGUUUAGGUAGGUCGCUAGAGUUUACUGGUGACAGUAAAACCAGAUAGAUGAUCGCUUUCGACAGAACUCGGCUUAUACGCCUGCUCAUAUA
rnacentral:RNase_P_RNA from 1 species